rnacentral:lncRNA from 1 species
UGGGUUAUAAAGUCAACAGUCACAGACUGGCCUUGCAUCACUGGACCCAAACCUUUGACCUAACUUUCCCGUCUAAGGUGAAGAGAAAAUGACAAAGCAGUUAGCUUUAACCCAGCUUAUCUGUUUGGCAUUGCUGCAAGAGAGCACUUGAGACUUGGUUACUUAACAUAAAGAGAACAGCACUUGGCUCAGAGCUCCAGGAGUCCGAGACAUACACGACUGAAGUGUCCCUUCAAGCUAGGUCCUUCUGCUUUUUAAAACAUUGCAGGAUACAAUACAUCAUGAGAGGACACACCUAAGAGAGGAGGAGAACUAAGCCUGGUUCGUAACAAACCCACUGUCAUGCUAACGAAUCCACUCCCAGGAUGGCGAGUCUACUUGUGAGCAAAGAAUCCUUAUGACCUGGCUAUCGGUUAGCCACUUGGUGAAGAUCCUGCCAACUAAAAUCUAACAGGGAAGCUUAAGAUUCCAGUAAAGAGCAGGGAGUAGAGUGUUUCUGAACAGCACAGAGCUAUGAGGCAGAGGGGACAGUGGGUCACCAAGUGCUGUAGACCCAGUGAGAAGAUCACUGUUGACUCCAUAGGAAUUCUCGACAUGGCUUCUACCUUUUGAGUGUGCAAUGCUUUUUGUGUUAAAUCAUCUUUUUUUCCUACUUUAGGAAAUAGAACCAGAUUAUAACUCACUCCACAGAAUUCAUAUUGCUUCUGCUUGCACCCCCCCCCCUUGCACUUUUAGCAUUAAAACUCCUAGGAAUUAGGACACAACUCUUCCUGACCCAAAUAUGAGUGGUUUGGUUUCUGACAGUGGACAGAAGUUUAACAGGAAGAGGACGAGCAAAAACAGAAGGCAGGGCCAGCCCCCCUCUGACAUCUAGCCCGGCAUUCCAUCCUCCAGCUGAACAUCUUGAGCUGGACUGUCUCCAUUUGGACAAGGAAAACUGCCUCUCUUCACUCGCACAUGGAAAGGAGGGCUCAGUCAGUGUUAGCUGAGGACCAGAGAAGCAUGUACUUCCAGCAUCAACACGGUGGUAACCGGUUUGCGAGAACUAUCGGUUCUGAUAGCUCAGGAGGCUUCUAGAUUGUCGCUUGGGGAUCCCCUGGGACCUCGAUAGAUGAACAUGUAGCCUGCUCCUCCCUUUCAAACAAGAUAGUUAGCAUCUGUUUUCUCUCAUUUGAUUCAAAGCCUGGGUAGUGGGUCACAACCUUUACUCUGGCAAAACAAACAAACAAAAAAGGAGUUAGUUGGAAACUACCUGAAAGGAAGAAAGAAAGAGAGAGAGAGAGAGAGAGAGAGAGAGAGAGAGAGAGAGAGAGAGAGAGAAAGAGAAAGGAAGAAAAAAAACCCUGGAAACCAUUAGAAAUUGCCCAUUUUCAUACAACCCAAAGCCAUUGAAUAGGACUGGCAAGAGAUCUUUGAGCAAGAAGCACAUCAACAGAUGGGAAAUGAUGCUCUUUGUAAAGAUGUCCCAAAAUGACCAGCUAGACCCAGUUCUUCCUGGAUGUUUGCCAGAGUCUCUUCAAUGAGGACAGAGUAAACGUGAGAUCGAAGGUGGAAGCUGAAAAGGGAGCGCGCAGGAAGUCCUGCCCAUGUUUCUUAUGGGGUUCUCAUAAUUACAACUGCGGAGGGGAAAGAGUGAAGGGGCAAACAUCGGGAUGAUAAGAAGGAAAUAAAAAAACCCUGGAAUUAAAACAAAACGCUGCUGUUCAAGAGAAUCCGGCACUUUGAAAACCAGUUCUGCGUACUUACCCCCGGAAAUACUGGGGGAAGAUGGAGGCUUGUGCUGUCUAGGACCCCGCAGAACUCAAAAGGCCACAGGCCCAGAAAAAGGAAGUAGUUGGAAAUAAUUAAGAAAUCUACAGCCAAAUACAGGGUGUGUCAUCAAGAAGUGGAAUAUGUAUUUGUGAAUCUCAGAGAGAGCUCUGAAGUGGACCGUGAGAUCUGAGCAUCAUCAGCUUGUGAGCAGGAGGCAAGACCAUGAAUGCUGACAGAGUCAUUGAAGAAGAACAAGCAGCUGGGAAAGGCACAUCUCUGAAGCUUAGCCACUAGUCCUUGGAGGUUGAUUCAACAUGUGCGUAUCUCUAGAAUUUUACUUUGUAACCAAACAAUACGUU